rnacentral:rRNA from 1 species
GCCCAGACUCCUACGGGAGGCAGCAGUGGGGAAUAUUGCACAAUGGGCGCAAGCCUGAUGCAGCGACGCCGCGUGGGGGAUGAAGGCCUUCGGGUUGUAAACCCCUUUCAGCAGGGAAGAAGCGAAAGUGACGGUACCUGCAGAAGAAGCGCCGGCUAACUACG